rnacentral:rRNA from 1 species
UUAAGCGACUAAGCGUACACGGUGGAUGCCCUGGCAGUCAGAGGCGAUGAAGGACGUGCUAAUCUGCGAUAAGCGCCGGUAAGGUGAUAUGAACCGUUAUAACCGGCGAUUUCCGAAUGGGGAAACCCAGUGUGACUCGUCACACUAUCAUUAACUGAAUCCAUAGGUUAAUGAGGCGAACCGGGGGAACUGAAACAUCUAAGUACCCCGAGGAAAAGAAAUCAACCGAGAUUCCCCCAGUAGCGGCGAGCGAACGGGGAGGAGCCCAGAGCCUGAAUCAGCAUGUGUGUUAGUGGAAGCGUCUGGAAAGGCGCGCGAUACAGGGUGACAGCCCCGUACACAAAAGCGCAUGUGCUGUGAGCUCGAUGAGUAGGGCGGGACACGUGGUAUCCUGUCUGAAUAUGGGGGGACCAUCCUCCAAGGCUAAAUACUCCUGACUGACCGAUAGUGAACCAGUACCGUGAGGGAAAGGCGAAAAGAACCCCGGCGAGGGGAGUGAAAAAGAACCUGAAACCGUGUACGUACAAGCAGUGGGAGCCCCACCACUAAGCCAGUGGUGAACUCCACAUACGCAUCCUUUGCUGAGGAUACGGUUAACGGAGCGAAAGCGACGUUCAACCUCAAAAGAAGCAGAGGGGGCUUAGUGGUGGGGUGACUGCGUACCUUUUGUAUAAUGGGUCAGCGACUUAUAUUCUGUAGCAAGGUUAACCGAAUAGGGGAGCCGGAGGGAAACCGAGUCUUAAUUGGGCGUUAAGUUGCAGGGUAUAGACCCGAAACCCGGUGAUCUAGCCAUGGGCAGGUUGAAGGUUGGGUAACACUAACUGGAGGACCGAACCGACUAAUGUUGAAAAAUUAGCGGAUGACCUGUGGCUGGGGGUGAAAGGCCAAUCAAACCGGGAGAUAGCUGGUUCUCCCCGAAAGCUAUUUAGGUAGCGCCUCGUGAACUCAUCUCCGGGGGUAGAGCACUGUUUCGGCUAGGGGGCCAUCCCGGCUUACCAACCCGAUGCAAACUGCGAAUACCGGAGAAUGUUAUCACGGGAGACACACGGCGGGUGCUAACGUCCGUCGUGAAGAGGGAAACAACCCAGACCGCCAGCUAAGGUCCCAAAGUCAUGGUUAAGUGGGAAACGAUGUGGGAAGGCCCAGACAGCCAGGAUGUUGGCUUAGAAGCAGCCAUCAUUUAAAGAAAGCGUAAUAGCUCACUGGUCGAGUCGGCCUGCGCGGAAGAUGUAACGGGGCUAAACCAUGCACCGAAGCUGCGGCAGCGACGCUGAUGCGUUGUUGGGUAGGGGAGCGUUCUGUAAGCCUGCGAAGGUGGCCUGUGAGGGUUGCUGGAGGUAUCAGAAGUGCGAAUGCUGACAUAAGUAACGAUAAAGCGGGUGAAAAGCCCGCUCGCCGGAAGACCAAGGGUUCCUGUCCAACGUUAAUCGGGGCAGGGUGAGUCGACCCCUAAGGCGAGGCCGAAAGGCGUAGUCGAUGGGAAACGGGUUAAUAUUCCCGUACUUGGUGUUACUGCGAAGGGGGGACGGAGAAGGCUAUGUUGGCCGGGCGACGGUUGUCCCGGUUUAAGCGUGUAGGUGUGUGUUCCAGGUAAAUCCGGUUCACUUUAACACUGAGGCGUGAUGACGAGGCACUACGGUGCUGAAGCAACAAAUGCCCUGCUUCCAGGAAAAGCCUCUAAGCAUCAGGUAACAUCAAAUCGUACCCCAAACCGACACAGGUGGUCAGGUAGAGAAUACCAAGGCGCUUGAGAGAACUCGGGUGAAGGAACUAGGCAAAAUGGUGCCGUAACUUCGGGAGAAGGCACGCUGACACGUAGGUGAAGUGAUUUACUCAUGGAGCUGAAGUCAGUCGAAGAUACCAGCUGGCUGCAACUGUUUAUUAAAAACACAGCACUGUGCAAACACGAAAGUGGACGUAUACGGUGUGACGCCUGCCCGGUGCCGGAAGGUUAAUUGAUGGGGUCAGCGCAAGCGAAGCUCCUGAUCGAAGCCCCGGUAAACGGCGGCCGUAACUAUAACGGUCCUAAGGUAGCGAAAUUCCUUGUCGGGUAAGUUCCGACCUGCACGAAUGGCGUAAUGAUGGCCAGGCUGUCUCCACCCGAGACUCAGUGAAAUUGAACUCGCUGUGAAGAUGCAGUGUACCCGCGGCAAGACGGAAAGACCCCGUGAACCUUUACUAUAGCUUGACACUGAACAUUGAGCCUUGAUGUGUAGGAUAGGUGGGAGGCUUUGAAGUGUGGACGCCAGUCUGCAUGGAGCCGACCUUGAAAUACCACCCUUUAAUGUUUGAUGUUCUAACGUGGACCCGUGAUCCGGGUUGCGGACAGUGUCUGGUGGGUAGUUUGACUGGGGCGGUCUCCUCCUAAAGAGUAACGGAGGAGCACGAAGGUUGGCUAAUCCUGGUCGGACAUCAGGAGGUUAGUGCAAUGGCAUAAGCCAGCUUGACUGCGAGCGUGACGGCGCGAGCAGGUGCGAAAGCAGGUCAUAGUGAUCCGGUGGUUCUGAAUGGAAGGGCCAUCGCUCAACGGAUAAAAGGUACUCCGGGGAUAACAGGCUGAUACCGCCCAAGAGUUCAUAUCGACGGCGGUGUUUGGCACCUCGAUGUCGGCUCAUCACAUCCUGGGGCUGAAGUAGGUCCCAAGGGUAUGGCUGUUCGCCAUUUAAAGUGGUACGCGAGCUGGGUUUAGAACGUCGUGAGACAGUUCGGUCCCUAUCUGCCGUGGGCGCUGGAGAACUGAGGGGGGCUGCUCCUAGUACGAGAGGACCGGAGUGGACGCAUCACUGGUGUUCGGGUUGUCAUGCCAAUGGCACUGCCCGGUAGCUAAAUGCGGAAGAGAUAAGUGCUGAAAGCAUCUAAGCACGAAACUUGCCCCGAGAUGAGUUCUCCCUGAGACUUUAGGUCUCCUGAAGGAACGUUGAAGACGACGACGUUGAUAGGCCGGGUGUGUAAGCGCAGCGAUGCGUUGAGCUAACCGGUACUAAUGAACCGUGAGGCUUAACCUU